UUAUGUUGGUGGUGGCUAGAGAGCGUGGAAGAGAGGCGAGAGGUGGAGACCAGAGAGAGAGAGAGAGAGAAAGAGAGGUGGACAAGGGUGGAGGAGGAGGAGGCUGGGAGGUGAGGUGAGCAAACUAGAGCUUUAAUGGAAGUUCGGCAAGCUCAUGCAACCCGGCUACCCGUUCUCUCUCUCUCUCUCUCUCUCUCUCUCUCUCUCUCUCUCUCUCUCUCUCUCUCUCUCGUUCUCUCUUUCUCUCUUCUCGGCAUCGCUGGGAUCGCUGUUGUCCUAGGUAGUCGGUCAGGGUACAAUGCCUUUCACUGAAUCUCACGCAAUCAUCUUCCUCUUCCUCUUUCCUCUCUUCUCGCCUCACCGCUUCACUCAUUUCCUCUUCCUUUCUCCUCUCAUCUCCUCUUGGUUUCUCCUCUCAUCUCCUCUCCUUUUGGUUUCUCCUCAUCUCCUCUCGCUUCCCUCAUCUCCUCUUCCUUUCUCCUCUCAUCUUCUCUUGCUUCACUCAUCUCCUCUUGGUUUCUCCUCUCAUCUCUCGCUUCAGUCAUCUCCUCUUCCUUUCUCCUCUCAUCUCUCGCUUCACAUCUCCUCUUCAUGUCUCCUCUCCUCUCGCUUCACUCAUCUCCUCCUUGUUUCUUCUCUCUUCUCUCUGCUUCACUCUCCUCUUCGUUCCUCCUCUCCUCAGCUUUUUUCCUCUCGGUUCCUCCUCUCCUCUUCACUCCUCUUUACUCCUCUUAAUACCGCUUCACUUCUCUUGGUUUCUCGUCUCCUAUCCUCUCAGCUUCAUUCUUCUCGUCCUUCCUCCUCUUCUCUUUUGCACUCUGCGUUCCCCUUCUCUUCCCUUCUCCUAAUCUCCUCUUCCUUCCUCCUCUCCCCUCCUUUCUCUCUUCUCCAUUUCUCCACUCCGUUUUUCUGUUCUCUCCCUUUCUUUCGUUCCUCCUCCCCUCUCCGCCUCACUCCUCUGUCCUUUCUUCUUUUCCUCUCUCUGCCCUCUCCCUUCGUUCUGCUCCUCCGUUCUCUUCGUUUUUUUUUUUUUUCCACUUUCUUCCUCUGUUCGCUUUCUCCCUCUUCUUUCUUCCUGUCCUCUCCACUUUUUUCCUCCGCCCUUUUCCUUUUUUCCAAUGCCCUCCUGUCCUGUCUCCUUCCCUCUCUUCUUUCCUCUUCUUUUUUCCCUUAUCCUUCUCUUCUCUACUCCCCUUCACUUAUUUCUUUAUUCCUCUCGUCUACUUCUUUCUAUUUUCUCCUCUCCUCUCCCUCUCUUGCUCUCCUCUUUCCCUCCUUUCUUAAAUCAUCUCUUCUACUCACUUUCUUUUCUUUUCCCUUUCUAGCUCAUCAUCUCUUUUAUCUUCUCCACCUCCCUCAACCACUUGCUCCACGUCUCUCAUCUCCCCUCUUCCCUUUCCUCCCUUCUCUCCUCUCCUCUUCCCUUGGAUCACCUGCCCCGCCAUUUUCAAGCCCCAGUCUCUGCUAAAUAGGUAAAUCAGGGCCACAGGUGCGCUUGCGGGUUACCUGUUUGAUUAUCUACCUGCUUGCCUUCCUACCUACCUACCUACUUGCUUGUCUUAUCUAUCUAUACCUUGCCUACCAUACCUGACUACCUACCUGCCUUCCUUCCAUCCUUCCUUUUUCCUUCCUGCCUACUUUCCUACAUUUUUCCCUUCCUUUCUUCCUACUAACCCUACUUACCUGCUUACCUACCUACCUACACACACACACACACACACACACACACACACACACACACACACACACACACACACACACACCAUGGCUAGCUGCUAUGUUUUAGGGGUUGGCACCUUGGCUGUUUGGUGGUGGGGGGAGGGGGGGGUCUAUGGCGUGUGUGUGCAUGCAUUUGGCGGGUCUGCGGCGUUGCUUCAGGGUCUCGGAGGCGCCCUUGAGGUAGCUGUGGUAGGGGUGGUGGGAAUGGUGGUGAUGGUGGUUGUCGUGUCAGCAGGUGUCGCCAUCUCUCCAGCAGGUGUUUUCAGUUUAUCUCUCCCUCCCCUGCUUCCACGCCCACCGCCCGCCCCUCCCGCCCUCAGCGGGUGGCAACAUGGGCGACUAAUGGCGGUGCUUGCAGGCCUUCGUCAGGAGUCUUUUUGUGGAGGCGGCGGAGAUGCUGCCCCGGGUUUUAAGGUCAGCUUGUGGUGGUGGUGCUGGCGGUGGUGGUGGUGGUCAGGGCAUCUCAUACUCUGCUUGCUUUCUAUUGAGGUCGUGGUGGUGGUGGUGGUUUUUGUCGUGUGUGCUGUCGGCGUUGUUGUUGUUACGGCGUCUUGGUGCCUUGUGAGGCUGGCACUCCGGGCAGAUGGCCCUCUGUUGUACACGACACCCCCACCCCCCACUUCACACACACACACACACACACACACACACACACACACACACACGUGCCCACAACAGCCGUGUUCUGGAUGCCAGCACCUGGUGUGGGUAAUAGGUCGUCUGCGCGCGCAGUGCUUGGUGUUGGUAGCGAUGGUGGUGGUGGUGGUAGCGGCGGCGGCGGCGGCAGCGGUGGUGGAGUGUGGCAUGAGCCAGGGCCUGGAGUGUGGCGGCAGUGUGGCUGGUGAAGUGACGCGCGCCCCACGUCCCGCCUGCCGUUCUUCCGCAGCUGGUGAACACCUCCGCCACCUGGUGCCGCCCUGCCCCUGCGACCCAGCUCGCCGCCGUCGCUGCUGCUGAGGUGUCCGCCGCUCCGUGGCCCGCGUCGCCUGCUAUCCAGGACGCUGCUCGACGCCAGCUGCUGCCCGCCACGGCCAGGGCGUCCCGCUCCUGCUGAAGACACUAUGUGAGGCUUGUCCUCUGUCAGCCGCGUGUAUUGAUCCGAGGAGAAAGGUGUUGGUGGUGGUGUGCGGCGCCACGACCCGUGCUGGUGUGUAGUGCCCCGCCCUUCGCGCCCCUACCUCGGCCAUGGUGUGACCGCCGGCCACUGGAGGGCGUGGC